UACGAAGGGGGCUAGCGUUGCUCGGAAUUACUGGGCGUAAAGGCGCGUAGGCGGCCCGCUAAGUCGAACGUGAAAUCCCCGAGCUCAACUCGGGAACUGCGUCCGAUACUGGCGGGCUUGAAUCCGGGAGAGGGAAGCGGAAGUUUCUGGUGGUAGCGGUGAAAUGACGUAGAUAUCAGAAGGAACAUCAGUGGCGAAGGCGGCCGACUGGGCCGGAUCCGACGCUGAUGCGCGAAAGCGUGGGGAGCAAACAGG
rnacentral:rRNA from 1 species